rnacentral:rRNA from 1 species
ACUCCUACGGGAGGCAGCAGUGGGGAAUAUUGGACAAUGGGCGCAAGCCUGAUCCAGCCAUGCCGCGUGAGUGAUGAAGGCCCUAGGGUUGUAAAGCUCUUUCACCGGUGAAGAUAAUGACGGUAACCGGAGAAGAAGCCCCGGCUAACUUCGUGCCAGCAGCCGCGGUAAUACGAAGGGGGCUAGCGUUGUUCGGAUUUACUGGGCGUAAAGCGCACGUAGGCGGACUAUUAAGUCAGGGGUGAAAUCCCGGGGCUCAACCCCGGAACUGCCUUUGAUACUGGUAGUCUUGAGUUCGAGAGAGGUGAGUGGAAUUCCGGGUGUAGAGGUGAAAUUCGUAGAUAUUCGGAGGAACACCAGUGGCGAAGGCGGCUCACUGGCUCGAUACUGACGCUGAGGUGCGAAAGCGUGGGGAGCAAACAGGAUUAGAAACCCUAGUAGUCCC